AUUGAACGCUGGCGGCAGGCCUAACACAUGCAAGUCGAACGAGUGGCGGACGGGUGAGUAGUGUCUGGGAAACUGCCUGAUGGAGGGGGAUAACUACUGUAAACGGUAGCUAAUACCGCAUACCAUCAGAUGUGCCCAGAUGGGAUUAGCGAGUAGGUGGGGUAACGGCUCACCAAGGCGACGCUCCCUAGCUGGUCUGAGAGGAUGACCGGCCACACUGGAACUGAGACACGGUCCAGACUCCGACGGGAGGCAGCAGUGGGGAAUAUGGCACAAUGGGCGCAAGCCUGAUGCAGCAAUGCCGCGUGUAUGAAGAAGGCCUUCGGGUUGUAAAGUACUUUCAGCGGGGAGGCGUUACCCGCAGAAGAAGCACCGGCUAACUCCGUGCCAGCAGCCGCGGUAAUUC
rnacentral:rRNA from 1 species